rnacentral:rRNA from 1 species
UACGUAGGGUGCGAGCGUUACUCGGAAUUACUGGGCGUAAAGCGUGCGCAGGCGGUUAUGUAAGACAGUUGUGAAAUCCCCGGGCUCAACCUGGGAAUUGCAUCUGUGACUGCAUAGCUAGAGUACGGUAGAGGGGGAUGGAAUUCCGCGUGUAGCAGUGAAAUGCGUAGAUAUGCGGAGGAACACCGAUGGCGAAGGCAAUCCCCUGGACCUGUACUGACGCUCAUGCACGAAAGCGUGGGGAGCAAACAGG